rnacentral:rRNA from 1 species
GUCCACGCCGUAAACGAUGGAUGCUAGCCGUCGGCAAGCUUGCUUGUCGGUGGCGCAGCUAACGCAUUAAGCAUCCCGCCUGGGGAGUACGGCCGCAAGGUUAAAACUCAAAGGAAUUGACGGGGGCCCCGCACAAGCGGUGGAGCAUGUGGUUUAAUUCGAUGCAACGCGAAGAACCUUACCAGCUCUUGACAUGCCCGGACGGUUUCCAGAGAUGGAUUCCUCCCAGCAAUGGGUCGGGACACAGGUGCUGCAUGGCUGUCGU